UAGCUCAGUCGGUUAGAGCGUGAUGCUGAUAACACCAAGGCCGUGGGUUCGAUCCCCAU
rnacentral:tRNA from 1 species